UGUAGGGGUUGGGUUGACCAUAGGGGACUCCUGCGACAACAGGCGGAGGCGGGUGACACCCGGAGCCACGUGAUAGGCCAAGAGACCCAGACCCAGGGCAAGAGGGUCCAACCCCUGUAAUUACCCCCUUCCCAUUUAAUUACCCCUUCCCAUUGUAAUUACCCCAUUCCCAUUGUAAUUACCUCAUUCCCAUUGUAAUUACCCCAUUCCCAUUGUAAUUACCCCUUUCCCAUUUAAUUACCCCUUCCCAUUGUAAUUACCCCAUUCCCAUUGUAAUUACCCCAUUCCCAUUGUAAUUAUCCCCUUCCCAUUGGAAUUACCCCCUUCCCAUUGGAAUUACCCCAUUCCCAUUGUAAUUACCCCAUUCCCAUUGUAAUUAUCCCCUUCCCAU